GAUGAACGCUGGCGGCGUGCCUAAUACAUGCAAGUCGAGCGAACGGACGAGAAGCUUGCUUCUCUGAUGUUAGCGGCGGACGGGUGAGUAACACGUGGAUAACCUACCUAUAAGACUGGGAUAACUUCGGGAAACCGGAGCUAAUACCGGAUAAUAUUUUGAACCGCAUGGUUCAAAAGUGAAAGACGGUCUUGCUGUCACUUAUAGAUGGAUCCGCGCUGCAUUAGCUAGUUGGUAAGGUAACGGCUUACCAAGGCAACGAUGCAUAGCCGACCUGAGAGGGGGAGCGGCCAGGCGGGGAUGUAGACACGGACCGGACUCCAGAGGGGGGCAGCAGUAGUGAGUGAGCCGGAAGGGGCGAAUACUGGACAAUGCGAGGCAGCGUGAGUGAUGAAGGUCUCGGGAUCGUUGAAGUCUUUUGUUGUGGAAGAACCUAUGUGUAAGUAAGUAGGCUCUUCGUGACGGUACCUAAAGAGAAAGCCACGGCUAACUACGUG
rnacentral:rRNA from 1 species